UACAGAGGUCUCAAGCGUUGUUCGGAUUCAUUGGGCGUAAAGGGUGCGUAGGUGGCGGGGUAAGUCAGGUGUGAAAUUUCGGAGCUUAACUCCGAAACUGCAUUUGAUACUGCCUUGCUUGAGGACUGGAGAGGAGACUGGAAUUCACGGUGUAGCAGUGAAAUGCGUAGAUAUCGUGAGGAAGACCAGUGGCGAAGGCGGGGUCUCUGGACAGUUCCUGACACUGAGGCACGAAGGCCAGGGGAGCAAACGGGG
rnacentral:rRNA from 1 species